GGGGAUUUAGCUCAGUGGUGCAGCACCUGCCUGGCAAGCAUGAGGUCCUGAGUUUGAUCCCCAGUACCCCCC
rnacentral:tRNA from 1 species